rnacentral:rRNA from 1 species
CUACGGGACGCUGCAGUUAGGGAUAUUCGGCAAUGGGGGAAACCCUGACCGAGCAAUGCCGCGUGAAUGAAGAAGUAUUUCGAUAUGUAAAGUUCUGUUGUUAAGGAAGAAAGGUACGAAUAGGAAAUGAUUCGUAAUUGACGGUACUUAACCAGAAAGCCCCUGCUAACUACGUGCCAGCAGCAGCGGUAAUACGUAGGGGGCGAGCGUUAUCCGGAAUUAUUGGGCGUAAGGGGUGCGUAGGCGGCCUGUCAAGUCCGAGUUGAAAGCCCACGGCUUAACCGUGGAGGGUGCUCGGAAACUGAUAGGCUUGAAGCCAGAAGAGGCAAGUGGAAUUCUAUGUGGAGCGGUGGAAUGCGUAGAUAUAUGGAGGAACACCAGUGGCGAAGGCGGCUUGCUGGGCUGGUAUUGACGCUGAUGCACGAAAGCGUGGGGAGCAAACAGGAUUAGAUACCCCAGUAGUC